rnacentral:rRNA from 1 species
ACAGCAGCCGCCGCGGUAACACAGAGGAUGCAAGCGAUAUCCGGAAUGAUUGGGCGUAAAGCGCGCGCAGGUGGUUUAAUAAGUCUGAUGUGAAAGCCCACGGCUCAACCGGGGAGGGUCAUUGGAAACUGGGAAACUUGAGUGCAGAAGAGGAGAGUGGAAUUCCACGUGUAGCGGUGAAAUGCGUAGAGAUGUGGAGGAACACCAGUGGCGAAGGCGACUCUCUGGUCUGUAACUGACGCUGAGGAGCGAAAGCGUGGGGAACGAACAGGAUUAGAUACCCGCGUAGUCCCUGUCUCUUAUAC